rnacentral:rRNA from 1 species
UACGUAGGGGGCUAGCGUUGUCCGGAUUUAUUGGGCGUAAAGCGCGUGUAGGCGGCCAGAUAGGUCUGCUGUGAAAACUCGAGGCUCAACCUCGAGCUGUCGGCGGAAACCAUCCGGCUAGAGUCCGGAAGAGGAGAGUGGAAUUCCCGGUGUAGCGGUGAAAAUGCGCAGAUAUCGGGAGGAACACCGGUGGCGAAGGC